UACGUAGGGUGCGAGCGUUGUCCGGAAUUACUGGGCGUAAAGAGCUCGUAGGUGGUUUGUCGCGUUGUUCGUGAAAUCUCACGGCUUAACUGUGAGCGUGCGGGCGAUACGGGCAGACUAGAGUGCGGUAGGGGAGACUGGAAUUCCUGGUGUAGCGGUGGAAUGCGCAGAUAUCAGGAGGAACACCGGUGGCGAAGGCGGGUCUCUGGGCAGUAACUGACGCUGAGGAGCGAAAGCGUGGGGAGCGAACAGG
rnacentral:rRNA from 1 species